rnacentral:lncRNA from 1 species
GAGGGAACCCCGAAAUACUUUUUCUGCCACCACAAGUAUCUGUUCUGCAGUGAUCUGUUUGUUGGGAUUCGAUGAAUUGUGGAUUGAUGAUCAGAUCAUUCAUUGAAAGUAACCGAGUCUUUUCUAAACUUUAUUAUCCAUGAUUAUUAUAGGCAUGUAUGAUUUCCUAUUUAUGAGUCUUGUUUGGCCAAUUUGAUGAGUAGAUCUUCAGCGGGAGUUGUGCAUUGUAGUAGGCUCAAUCUUAUGG